AACGAACGCUGGCGGCAGGCCUAACACAUGCAAGUCGAACGGGACCUUCGGGUCUAGUGGCGGACGGGUGAGUAACGCGUGGGAACGUGCCCUUUGGUUCGGAAUAGCCCCGGGAAACUGGGAGUAAUACCGGAUAAGCCCUACGGGGGAAAGAUUUAUCGCCAAAGGAUCGGCCCGCGUUGGAUUAGGUAGUUGGUGGGGUAAUGGCCUACCAAGCCGACGAUCCAUAGCUGGUUUGAGAGGAUGAUCAGCCACACUGGGACUGAGACACGGCCCAGACUCCUACGGGAGGCAGCAGUGGGGAAUCUUAGACAAUGGGGGAAACCCUGAUCUAGCCAUGCCGCGUGAUCGAUGAAGGCCUUAGGGUUGUAAAGAUCUUUCAGUGGGGAAGAUAAUGACUGUACCCACAGAAGAAGCCCCGGCUAACUCCGUGCCAGCAGCCGCAGUAA
rnacentral:rRNA from 1 species